UAUUGUUAUCUGAUAGACAAUUUUCCAAUCUUUCAUAAUCAACAAUUCGUGGGUUGCUAUCUCGUUUAGUUUAAGAGAUAUUAAUUAUCAAAAAUCGUCGAAAAAAAGUAUCAAGCACCCCCCCUUGGCAAUUUUUUUCUUAAGACUUAAAAUUGUGUCUCUCAUAUUUCCCUUUUAACUAUCCUAUCUGAUAGAAAAUAGUCCGUAGAUUAAGACGCUGCGAUCAGAUCUUAUUUAUCUCUUUUAGUUUACGAGAUAUUCGCGAUUGAAUAAAAUGGGCAAAAAUUGAUAAAUGUCACUUUUUAGCACUUUUAGUCGCAAAUUGCAAAUAAAAAAGAAAACGUAAGUUAAAACAAAAAACUUUCAUAUUUUUUCAUAUUUUAUAUUUUUCCGUGUGUCGUAGAGCCGCAUGCAGCACAUUCGAGUUUAGUAUAUAUCGCAGCUAUUGUGUCUAUUGCAAUUCGCGCACAAGGUCGCGUCCCAUUGACGCGCCGCCGGCUUUGCGCAUCUAUUGCUUCCUUGUCAUAUACUGUCGCGUUGUUGCAUGCACAGUUUGCAGCCAGUUUCGUGCCGGUAUCUGGGUUGUGCAAUAUUUUUUGAGACUCGUAUUGUUUGUCCGGAUAUCUACUUUCCAAAUUCGCAGUAUAUCCGAUCCAUCAACCUGACAUUGUAAGAGAACUAUUCUUUCAUAAGGUUGGGUUUUACACCUGAACAUGACAUCGCAGGAGAACCAUUCUUUCAUCAGAUUGUAGGGAUUUUACGCCUGGACCGGACAUCGUAGGAGAACCAUUCUUUCAUCAGAUUGGGUUUUACACCUGAGCCCGACUUCGUUAGAGCACCAUUGUUGAAUCAGAUUGGGUUUUACACCUGAGCCCGACUUCGUAAGAGCACCAUUAUUGAUUCCGAUUCGUGCGUAUCUCAACAGCGAUAGUGACCUCGUGUAGUUGCUGUCGGCUGUGCAACUCAAGGCAUACGCAGUUCCAUUUUGGUUGUCGAGUGAAUCGCGCGUUUUCAUUGCGACUACUUUUUGUUCUUCCAAUCAUAAUUAGGUAAAUUGCGGAAUGUUCAAUUAACAAUUGACGAAAUUUACUUAAAUCGAAUGUGAAUGUUGUUUUUGCUAUUAAGAUAGCAUGCGAUGAAUGUUCAUCAAUCGCGGAGUUAUCGGUGGUUCACCUAUGCGCGUGUGAUGUUCCGUCGGCCGUUGGUGAUUGUUUUUCGCUUGUGGAAUUACAUUGCACUCGUGUUAAGCCAUGUGUAAAUAACCUGCGUGUCCACACAAACUUAAUAAUAACUUGGAUUUAUGUUUAAUUAAUAUAAAUAAACAAUGUUGAUGCCUGUUGAAGAAGUUUAGGAGCACUUGUGCCAAAGAGUCUACCGCUUCUCUCGCAGAAAUGUUAGAGAUGCGCGUAUUACAAGGCAAGUUUUACUUUCAGGAGAUUUAAGAGCUGUCUAUGAUUUUCGAUUUUAAAAAAUGUAUGUAGUUUUUAAUGUUGUUAAUAAAACAUAAUGUAAUAUUA